CUAGUACUCCCUCCAUCCGAAAAUACUUGUCAUCAAAAUGAAUAAAAAGAUAUGUAUGUAGAACUAAAAUACAUCUAGAUACAUCCCCUUUUAUUCAUUUUAAUGACAAGUAUUUUCGGACGGAGAAAGUACUAC
rnacentral:pre_miRNA from 1 species